UACGGAGGGCGCACGCGUUAACCGGAAUUACUGGGUGUAAAGCGCACGCAGGCGGUCUGUCAAGUCGGAUGUGAGAUCCCCGGGCUCAACCUGGGAACAGCAUCUGAAACUGGCAGGCUAGAGUCUUGUAGAGGGGGGUAGAAUUCCAGGUGUAGCGGUGAAAUGCGUAGAGAUCUGGAGGAAUACCGGUGGCGAAGGCGGCCCCCUGGACAAAGACUGACGCUCAGGUGCGAAAGCGUGGGUAGCAAACAGG
rnacentral:misc_RNA from 1 species